GCCGAGGUGGCGGAAUGGUAGACGCGCACGGUUCAGAACCGUGUCCGAAUAGGGUGGGGGUUCAACUCCCCCUCUCGGCA
rnacentral:tRNA from 3 species